ACAUGCUUACAAAAUAGCAUUAGUGCAUCAAAUUCCAUUAGAACUCUGCAGUUAAUCACACUCAUUCUAGAGUAGUACUAGGAUGGGUGACCACCCAAGAAGUCCUAGUGUUUUACAUGCC
rnacentral:rRNA from 1 species